GAAAGGUGAAAAGAACCCCGGUAAGGGGAGUGAAAAGAACAUGAAACCAUAAACUUACAAGCAGUAGGAGGACGACUAAAACGUCUGACUGCGUGCCUGUUGAAGAAUGAGCCGGCGACUUAUAGGUAGUGGCAGGUUAAGACAGUGAAUGUUGGAGCCAUAGUGAAAGCGAGCCUGAAUAGGGCGUUUGUCACUAGUUAUAGACCCGAACCCGGAUGAUCUAACCAUGGUCAGGUUGAAGCUCAGGUAAUACUGAGUGGAGGACCGAACCGACUGAUGUUGAAAAA
rnacentral:rRNA from 1 species